rnacentral:rRNA from 1 species
AUCUGCCUAUUAGUGGGGGACAACAUUUCGAAAGGAAUGCUAAUACCGCAUACGUCCUACGGGAGAAAGCAGGGGAUCUUCGGACCUUGCGCUAAUAGAUGAGCCUAAGUCGGAUUAGCUAGUUGGUGGGGUAAAGGCCUACCAAGGCGACGAUCUGUAGCGGGUCUGAGAGGAUGAUCCGCCACACUGGGACUGAGACACGGCCCAGACUCCUACGGGAGGCAGCAGUGGGGAAUAUUGGACAAUGGGCGCAAGCCUGAUCCAGCCAUGCCGCGUGUGUGAAGAAGGCCUUAUGGUUGUAAAGCACUUUAAGCGAGGAGGAGGCUACUUUAGUUAAUACCUAGAGAUAGUGGACGUUACUCGCAGAAUAAGCACCGGCUAACUCUGUGCCAGCAGCCGCGGUAAUACAGAGGGUGCAAGCGUUAAUCGGAUUUACUGGGCGUAAAGCGCGCGUAGGCGGCUAAUUAAGUCAAAUGUGAAAUCCCCGAGCUUAACUUGGGAAUUGCAUUCGAUACUGGUUAGCUAGAGUGUGGGAGAGGAUGGUAGAAUUCCAGGUGUAGCGGUGAAAUGCGUAGAGAUCUGGAGGAAUACCGAUGGCGAAGGCAGCCAUCUGGCCUAACACUGACGCUGAGGUGCGAAAGCAUGGGGAGCAAACAGGAUUAGAUACCCUGGUAGUCCAUGCCGUAAACGAUGUCUACUAGCCGUUGGGGCCUUUGAGGCUUUAGUGGCGCAGCUAACGCGAUAAGUAGACCGCCUGGGGAGUACGGUCGCAAGACUAAAACUCAAAUGAAUUGACGGGGGCCCGCACAAGCGGUGGAGCAUGUGGUUUAAUUCGAUGCAACGCGAAGAACCUUACCUGGCCUUGACAUAGUAAGAACUUUCCAGAGAUGGAUUGGUGCCUUCGGGAACUUACAUACAGGUGCUGCAUGGCUGUCGUCAGCUCGUGUCGUGAAAUGUUGGGUUAAGUCCCGCAACGAGCGCAACCCUUUUCCUUAUUUGCCAGCGAGUAAUGUCGGGAACUUUAAGGAUACUGCCAGUGACAAACUGGAGGAAGGCGGGGACGACGUCAAGUCAUCAUGGCCCUUACGGCCAGGGCUACACACGUGCUACAAUGGUCGGUACAAAGGGUUGCUACCUAGCGAUAGGAUGCUAAUCUCAAAAAGCCGAUCGUAGUCCGGAUUGGAGUCUGCAACUCGACUCCAUGAAGUCGGAAUCGCUAGUAAUCGCGGAUCAGAAUGCCGCGGUGAAUACGUUCCCGGGCCUUGUACACAC